rnacentral:rRNA from 1 species
AUUGAACGCUGUCGGCAGGCCUAACACAUGCACGUCGAACGAGUGGCGGACGUGUGCGUAAUGUCUGGGAAACUGCCCGAUGGAGGGGGAUAACUACUGGAAACGGUAGCUAAUACCGCAUACCAUCGGAUGUGCCCAGAUGGGAAUAGCUAGUAGGUGGUGGAACGGCUCACCUAGGCGACGAUCCCUAGCUGGUCUGGGAGGAUGACCAGACACACUGGAACUUAGAAACGGUCCAGACUCCUACGUGAGGCAGCAGUGGGGAAUAUUGCACAAUGGGCGCAAGCCUGAUGCAGCCAUGCCGCGUGUAUGAAGAAGGCCUUCGGGUUGUAAAGUACUUUCAGCGAGGAGGCGUUACUCGCAGAAGAAGCACCGGCUAACUCCGUGCCAGCAGCCGCGGUAAUUC